GACGAACGCUGGCGGCGUGCCUAAUACAUGCAAGUCGAGCGAGACUCUUCGGAGUCUAGCGGCGGACGGGUGAGUAACACGUGGGCAACCUGCCUGUAAGACUGGGAUAACACCGGGAAACCGGUGCUAAUACCGGAUAAUCCUUUUCCUCUCAUGAAGAAAAGCUGAAAGUCGGUUUCGGCUGACACUUACAGAUGGGGCCGCGGCGCAUUAGCUAGUUGGUGAGGUAACGGCUCACCAAGGCGACGAUGCGUAGCCGACCGGAGAGGGUGAUCGGCCACACUGGGACUGAGACACGGCCCAGACUCCUACGGGAGGCAGCAGUAGGGAAUCUUCCACAAUGGACGAAAGUCUGAUGGAGCAACGCCGCGUGAGCGAUGAAGGCCUUCGGGUCGUAAAGCUCUGUUGUUAGGGAAGAACAAGUACCGGAGUAACUGCCGGUACCUUGACGGUACCUAACCAGAAAGCCACGGCUAACUACGUGCCAGCCGCCGCCGUAACAC
rnacentral:rRNA from 1 species